GCAUCUAUGGAGCAGUAGUACAGCUCGUUCUUCUCCCAUAAUCCGGGCAGCGGAAAGACCCGGGUGCGAAUCCCGGUGGAUGCA